AACGAACGCUGGCGGCAGGCUUAACACAUGCAAGUCGAACGCAUCCUUCGGGGUCAGUGGCAGACGGGUGAGUAACGCGGGGGAACGUGCCCUUCAGUUCGGGAUAACCCAGGGAAACUUGGGCUAAUCCCGGAUACGGGCGAGAGCAGAAAGAUUUAUCGCUGAAGGAUUGGCCCGCGUCUGAUUAGCUAGGUGGGGGGGUAAUGGCCCACCAAGGCGACGAUCAGUAGCUGGUCUGAGAGGAUGAUCAGCCAAAUUGGGACUGAGACACGGCCCAAACUCCUACGGGAGGCAGCAGUGGGGAAUAUUGGACAAUGGGCGCAAGCCUGAUCCAGCCAUGCCACGUGAGUGAUGAAGGCCUUAGGGUUGUAAAGCUCUUUCGUCCGGGACGAUAAUGACGGCACCGGAAGAGGAAGCCCCGGCUAACUUCGUGCCAGCCGCCGCUGUAA
rnacentral:rRNA from 1 species